AGGCACAUAUCCUCGUACCCAUCCAGAAGAGUGACUAACUAACAGGGGCGUGUUCUGCCGUCACGAAUUGCAUCGAUUCCUAGGUUUCUGCUCGCUGGAAUUGUGGCGGCCUUGCCUCUCCCUUGUAUGGCUGGCCGGCACUAGCAGGUGAGCAGUACAGUGCAAAUGUUUGCUCGCGUAUCCAGCAAGCUUCACGUCCAUGGCCGCGGCAGUCCUUUCUUCUUCAAAUCCCUCCUAGAUUACUGCUCCACCCCAGCCGCACUAGUCGCCGCCCCUCAAACAAAGAAAAUUACGCCUACCACUGGUAGCUUCUUGGAAGAAUGCUUGAUAAACUCACUUGGGUUCUCAAAACAAGAAGCCAUCUCCGCUUUAAGUAAGUUAAUCCGCUUGAAUGCCAUCAAGAAAGAUCCCAAUUUAGUCAUCAAUUUCUUGUUUAAUUUGGGUUUAACAAAAACCGACAUCAAAAAAGUUAUUUCCAAGAGCCCCCAGUUACUACUCUCCAGCGUCGAGAAAACCCUUAAACCAAAAAUCAGCUAUCUCCAAACACUCGGCCUGUCAGGGUACGAGCUCGUCAAAUUGGUAGUGAGGUAUCACCGAAUUUUCUUCAGAGGGUUAGAUAAUCAUCUUGUUCCCCGGAUUGAGUGCCUGAGAAAAUUGUUGGGAGAUGAUGAGAAAGUAGUUUUAGCUUUGAGGAAGAUUGUUUUCGUGCCUAGUAAUAAUGCGGUAGAGAGAAUGGAACAAAAUGUUGCAGUGUUGCAGAAUAAUGGAUUUUCUAAUGAUUUCAUUGCCAAAUUUGUUCUCAAAAGUCCCACCCUUUUCAUUGCAAAGAGUGAAAAAUUGCAGGAGGUGUUGCACCGGCUUGAACAUGAUUGGGGGAUUCCUCGCGAUACUAACAUGUUUGCUCAGGGAAUUGAUGUGCUAUGUUCUGGUAGUAAAUCAAAAAUUGAUAUGAAGUUUGAGAUUUUAAGGAGUUAUGGUUGGUCCAAUUCAGAGAUAAUCAGAAUGGUUAGGAGUUUACCUCGUGUUCUGGAUACGUCCCAUUCUAAGAUGAGAAAAAUCCUAGAUUAUUUCAUGAAGGAGGUUGGAUUUAGUGCUGAUUACUUGGCUUCCCGACGUUCGGUUUUCACCUUUAGUUUGGAAGGCAGGGUGAAGCCCAGGCAUGAAGUUUUGAAAAUUCUGAAUGACAAGAAGUUGAGCAAAGCCGGUCUUGUUAACAUUUUGUCUUUGUCAGAAUUGCAGUUUCAGAACAGGUGUCUUCUCCCUUACAAGGAUAUUUUACCUGACAUGUAUGAGUCAUAUUUGAAGAAGCAUAUUUGUCAGAUUACCACCUGCUACUUAAAAUGGAUUUGGUGACUGGCAUAUAUCCUGUGAAGGUAACAUAUUGUCUUACAUCAGACAUUGCCACAUAGAAACAAGAUCCAUAGGACAGAGCGCGACUUUCUUUUGAAUUGGUGGAAUCCCUUGUCAAGUCAAUCAGGCCAUCUCUGUCUCAAAUAAGGAUUGCUAUUUUUCCAUCCGGUGAAGAUCUUAAAACGCAAAGUUUAGGUCCUUCAAGACCUUGGCUUAUCUGGGUUGGACGUCAUCAAGGUUAUUACGUUGUAUAAAACAUUUUGGGUUGGGUUGAAGGAUUGGAUUAUCAUAUUAAACGCUGUAUUAAUUAUUGGAGAGAGUUCUUGGGUAGUGACGAAAAUGUGGCCAUGGCUUUAAAGAAUCAUGUGAGAUUGCUCGAUUAUUGUGUGCUGUGGAAAAUGGAUGAAAUUAGGAAUUAUGGGCUCUCAUAAGGAAAAUGUUUUCAAAUUUACAUUGAGGAACUCCUAUGAAGUUACGUGACAUUGAGUAUUUUCAGAACAUAUUGGUUAGAGUGGAAAAUGAAUUUGGGAUUCCUCGCGAUUCCACUAUGUUUUACUAUAGAGUUGAAGUUUUAUCUAGACUUUGAUAGUCAACAAUUGAAAUGAGAUUUGGUUUAUUAAGGGGUUUUGGUUGGACAGAUGCAAAUGCACAUACAAUGUUUAGGGACCUUCCUUAUACUUUAGGUAUAUCAUAAGAUAGGAUAAGAAAGACUUUGAACUUUUUCAUGCAUGAAGUUGGAUAUACCGCUGACUAUUUGGAUUCUGAUCCAGUGCGGUUCUGUUUGGAUAAGGACAAAUGGGUAAAGCCUAGGUACAAAAUUCUCAAAUUUCUGAAUGAGAAGAAGUUGAACAAGAGGGCAGCAAGCUUUUAUACUGCCCUGUGCUUAUCGGGGUAAAAGUUUCUCAAGGUUUAUCUUCUGCCCUACAAUGAUAAUAUUCCUGAUCGUUAGAAAUUAUGUGUGCAAAUUACUGGAAAGAAGAAGACAAGGAAAACUUUGACCUUCUUCGAGGUAACACACUUUCUUUCAUUGGUGGUUCAUGUGAUAUUAAUCUUGGCUCUUUUUUAUGUUUGCUUAUUUUUCUGGUGGCUAUUAUUGAGUGGUUAGUUUUAAUUCUGAAUUCACUGCAGCAUUAUCACGUGAAUGAUGGAUAACAGGAAUAGGUUGCUUUUCCAUGUUACAUGCUUUGGUGCUUAGCUCCAAGGAACUGUCUUGAUACCUCAUCAUCUGAAAGUGUGAUUAUACUCUUAGCUGGUGAAAAUCCAAAGUUUCUGCAGUCUUUCUAAGAUUUUAUGAGUCAAUACUUAUACCAAUAUUACUCUUGGUUGUUUAUGCAUAGUGUUCUGAUCGGUAAAUGUUCAGUAAUGGAAAUAACAGGCACCAAGAUUUCUGUGUAGUGCUUUACACUGUGGCUAUUAUUGACAUCAGGGAGAUAAUGCCACAGGUCAUUGGAUUUUGUGGGAUGUUUCAUAUGAUUCAUUAAUGAUUAACUAGAAAGAAGAUGCGCAGGAAAGAAUGACUUUCUUUUGCCUUAUUAGGAGUUGCGAUUUAAAUUUUUUUUUGUUGAUUGCUAACUGAUUUUUACUGCUUUUGCAAAUUAGAGGAGUUUCUAUGCUGGAAACCAACAUGUUGUUUCUGUUUUAAGCAAGUUUGAAGUACUAUUGAAACACCUCCCUCUAGGUGCCCACUGUUGGCGGCAAGUUUUGCUGGCAAAUGAUGUCAAACCUCUAGGUCUGACCAGAAAUUUUGAAUCCUCCAAAUGCCAAAAGGUCGCUCUGGUCUGUGUACCAGACUUUCCUGUGAGGAGAAUUCCAGAAAAUUCAUUCUAAUUUGUCUUUUUCUUGCACAUCAGAACAAGCCUGUCUGAUUGUAGAUCAUUAGGAUUAUUAUUUUAUAGUUCUGUAGUGCAUUUGCUGGUUCUUAACUUGUGUUUGAUUGCCCAGGAAUUGAUUUAGCAGUUGGCUAUGGGCUAUAGAAGUGCAGAUGAUCGAUUCAUCAUGCACUUUAAAGAAGUUGCAUACUCAGAACCGUGUUUCCAGUGUGGACAGAACCCUGAGACCUAGAGUCAAAGUUUCUCCUGGACCAUGGCAUAUCUGGGGCAAGCCUAGUUAACGUGGUUGUACCUUAUAAAAGCUUCAUGUCUACAGUUGACAUGAAAUUCGCUAUAUUUAGAAAUUUUGGCUGGACAGACGUGGUUAUAGUACUGAAAAUGGUUGAGGGUUCAUCCGAGUAUUCAAAUGCAUGGUUAAUUCUUCAUCAACAUUCAACAGCCCCUAAUUCUAGAGAUGAAAAUUAUUUUUGCUUUCUGAA